rnacentral:rRNA from 1 species
GUCUAUGCCAUACCACACCGAACGCAUCUGAUCUUGUCUGAUCUUGGAAGCUAAGCAGGAUCAAGCCUGGUUAGUGCUUGGAUGGGAGACCCCCGUUAAAAUAGCACUGUAGGCU